rnacentral:ncRNA from 1 species
UAAGUAUUCCGCCUGGGGAGUACGGUCGCAAGAUUAAAACUCAAAGGAAUUGACGGGGACCCGCACAAGCAGCGGAGCAUGUGGUUUAAUUCGAAGCAACGCGAAGAACCUUACCUAGACUUGACAUCUCCUGAAUUACUCGUAAUGGAGGAAGCCCUUCGGGGCAGGAAGACAGGUGGUGCAUGGUUGUCGUCAGCUCGUGUCGUGAGAUGUUGGGUUAAGUCCCGCAACGAGCGCAACCCUUAUCGUUAGUUGCUACCAUUAAGUUGAGCACUCUAACGAGACUGCCGCGGUUAACGUGGAGGAAGGUGGGGAUGACGUCAAAUCAUCAUGCCCCUUAUGUCUAGGGCUACACACGUGCUACAAUGGCCGGUACAACGAGAUGCAAACCCGUGAGGGGGAGCCAAACUCAAAAGCCGGUCCCAGUUCGGAUUGUAGGCUGAAACUCGCCUACAUGAAGUCGGAGUUGCUAGUAAUCGCGAAUCAGCAUGUCGCGGUGAAUACGUUCCCGGGUCUUGUACACACCGCCCGUCACAC